ACUGUUAUGGUUUGGUGUGCUCUUUGCAGGUUAUGGUUAUGUUUGCUGUAAUGACAAUGCCGACAUUCACUUACGGUAAUUUGAGUGAUUCCAUUUGGCUUAAUUAACUUGAAAUCCAGGAGAAGGAGUGAAGCUAUAGGUACAAGGAUCGCAGGAAAAUUUAUUACUCAUGUCCUUUAAUGCUACAGCUGAAGCAUCAGCCUGAUAUCCAUUAGAAACUUCAGAAGUAAGAAAACUUUCUCUAUUUUCGUUGUGGUCUACUUCAGACUCCUUGCCUACACCAUUAUGUUGCUCACUCAAUUCUCCAAUUACAGGGUAUCGGCAAUCAGCAGUGUUGAUGCUGUAGCGGUUGUUGUCGCGGAUUCAUGUAAGACUCCAUUGGAUUCAAAAAACCUUGAAAAUUCGUAGCUUCCUUGAGGCUGCAGCAUGUCUAAGUUGAAAGGAGGGGAUUGGACUGAACUUACGCAGGAAGAUUCAAACAGAAGAGAAGUUCACUGAACCGCUGUUGACAGGAUUCGACAAUUGCAGGGCAAAGGGAAUGGCAUAACAGGUCGGGCAUUUGUUGGUGCAGUAGGCUGGACAGGUGGGGAAGAUUUCACCUGUAAAUCCCUGUGAGUUGGCCGUGAAGUCACAGGCAAUGGAAGUAUCGGUGGCUGGGAUUCAACAGCGACAGACACAGGUGGCUCUGGAGGUAAAGUUGAUGAUACCGGAACUACUUCAACAUCCUUAGGUGCUGUUUGUGAAGGCUUGAGAUAAGUGGUUCUUCAGGAAGUUGGAUUGUUCACAGCAUGAUUUUCUAAUUGCAUUUACAACCUCUGGUUUUUUCACUUGACUGCCAUAUUCAUCUUCUGUUUUUCCUUUCCGAUAUGCACCGAAUAUUUGAUGAUGAUGACGCAUUGGUGUUUGCCUGGUUUCGACCGGAAUUGACUGCUAAUCUUGGAUUAAUGGACUGUUGUGAUGCUGAAAUUUUGCAGGAACAAAGGCUGCAUCAAUAAAACAGUGGCUUUCCACUUGGCUAUCUUCGUCCUCCAGGGGAAUGUACGGAACCCAGUCCAUUUUCAUUUGUUUCAUGGGAAUUAUCUCUUCAGCCUCUCUUUGAAUGAAGCUAAUCCCAAUUUUAUCAGAUGGUGGAAAAGGUGAGACAACAGCUACAACAACCGGAAUGCAGAUAACUUUGUUUUCUUGUUUGUGCAUAACCAAUUGAGGCUCAGUGCAACCAAAGAGGAAUCCAAUUGAUCCCACUCAGUUCCAACUGGGAAUGUUUCAACCUACAAGUCCUCCAAGUUGCGUUUCAGAAUAUUCCGGUUCAGAUUGGGGUUUUGAGGUUUUGACACGUUUUGCUUUGAAAUUGAACAGAGAAGAAGACGAAGUGGGAUUGCGAAGAGUAUUGUUGAAGCGUGAGAAAAGGAAUUGGUAGCGAAUUGGCGAGGCUUGAUUGCUGGAACUUUGAACACGAUUCCAAAGCGCUUCAAUUCCUCCAGUGCAGCCAGAUUUGGUGCUCUUUACAGGUGAUUUUGGUGAAGAAAAUCUUGAAGUCGUUUGAAGUGUUGCAAAUGUUGAAUUUGCUAAAGCAGUUAUAUUAGAAAACCAUGACUCCUGGUUUACUAAGAAGUUUUCUCUAAUAAAAGUAAGUGUUGUUGGUGGACGACCAUUUUCUUGUGGGGGUACCUCGAAAAAAGCUGCUGUAUUGGAAUUUUGUUCUACAAUGAAAAAUGUAGAAUGGUGUAUUGUAUAG